rnacentral:lncRNA from 1 species
GAAAUGAGCUUUAGAGGCUGGGGAAAUAUUGAAGAAACUUCUUGGUGGGUGUAUCCUUGAGAGACCUGCUGGAUGUGCUUGUCCAUCAGUGACAAUAUCCUGACAAUAAAAUAUACGGUAAUGUGUAUCAGGAUUAUUGGUCCCCCUCUGUGAUCCCUCCACAGCACAGGGUGCGAUUGUUUCUUUUAAGGAGGUACACGGUCCGUCUGGUUUUAUUCAAAGGUUCAUCUACGACUUCUCUGGCGGAGCAGAAACACUCAUUAAAAAGACUAAAAACAGAAGGAAACGUUGUGAUUCUUUAGCUAAAUGUUCAGGAAGGUAAUCUAAACUGAGUCAAAUCCAUAAAAAAAGAUGGUAUUAGACUUUCACGGUUUGGCGUCACUGCAGACGGUAACUAAUAAGGGAAUUAAUCCCAUCGCCACGGCUCAGAGGCUUCCCCUGCCUCAUCCCGCUUUCCUAAUCUAUCAUUUCCCCCUCUUACAAACAAAUACUACGCUCAUUCACUCAUGUCAUUGUGGAGAUAAUAGAGGAAAUGCAAACGCAUGAAAAUGGCACCAGUUUAAGUGUCAGCUCCUGUUAGUGUAAAACUUGUGUAUCUGUAAAUGCAGCUUGCAGAGACUUGGCAGAGUGGAUGAGUGGGCAACGGAAACAUUUAGAUCCCCGUAUUUGCCAGUUCCUUACAGUCAUUAAAGGGAUAGUGUCAAGUUUUGGGAACAGUCCAGACGCCUUGCUCUACAGUGCUAAAAGUGCUUACUUAAGAUGUUUAACCGGUUGGAUGGUAGCGUUUAUUCAGAGAAUAAAAAGUCUGUCUAGGAUUCAGCUAAAAGCAGCAGUGAGGAAAUCCAAAACACGCCUUAGACACAAACAGGUUUCCUGAUUCUGAUGUCACUGAUGUCAUUCUGUUGCAGUUGCAUGGAUUGCGGGACAGGAUGUUGCUCUCCUUUUCCUUUCCUCAGACAGCCCCGAUAUUUGUGACGGUCAUGAUUCUCAAAUCUCAAAAGAAGCCAAGUUGACAGCGACAGAGUUGACAGCGUUCCAGUAAACAAGUCGGAAAACCAAGAUGGACGCCUACAGUUAGCCAUUGUUAGCUGUUGUUAUUAGCAAUUAUCAGUUGUUGUUAGCGGUUGUCAGCUGUUGUUGGUUGUACCUAGCUACACCAGUAAACACCGCAUAACACAGUAUUUUACUCUUACAAUGUGCUGCCAUUUUGGAUUAUGACGUUAUCGUCAAGCCGAGGUUGGUGAGGAUUGUCAGACUUUUCAGAGUCAGAAAUCUGACUUCAGGGGGGCGUUCCAGAUGAAUUUCCAUCUCGGAGCUCGGAAAUUCCGACUUUCAAGUACAAGUGGAAACGCAGCAUAACAUUUUGCCACAGAGUCAACAAGCAGAUAAGACAUGUGCCAGACCCCUUAGAGCAGAGAUCGGCCUCUCUUAUUGGCUAGAUUUGCAAGGAAUGUUUCCCUCUUCUACAAGAAAACCGUUCCUGCCAGGAGAUAAAUUGAAAAUGUUGGAAUCACUGGUUAUAUUCAGUGCUCCUCUAAAGGCUCAUUUAUGCUCAACGUUACAUACGGAUCCGGAUACGGAUGGAGCUUUCUGUCCGUGCUUCACUGCCUUUUCGUCCGUAUUUCUGGGUAUGGGCCAGGCGGGGGCAGUGUCGCUGCUGUCACUACCUGAUACACACUAUCACAAUACUGAAAAUGACGAUCGUCGUGAAUUUCUCUCAUCGGUACUACUAGAAAAAAAAAUUCUCUGUGCUCCAACCCCGAGGCAUUGAGUGACCUGACCGACCACCGCCUCCUCCAACGCCGCCUCCGUUUCUGUCUCCUACGCAAAAUAUACGUUAUCACGAGUCGCCAUUUUUCUUUUUGUUUAUUAUUGUCAGAAACUUUUGACUCUGGCCUGCCCCCUGGUGGAUGUAAUGGUUAGCAACUAUGCCAAUGUUAAGGACGCAUGUAAGUAUGUGGGCAGUGACAGAACCAUCAUUUAAAACAGCCAUGUAAAUUUUCAUACGUAUGACGAGCAUGAAUGAGCUUUUACAGUCACUAUCCUAUUUUUUGCAGCAACACAUUUUUCUUUUCCAGUCUCAAAUCUGAAGCUGUAGUUCAACUUGUUGUUCUUCCUGGCUAUAAAUCAGCAGAUUUAAUUGGCGGACUUGUUUUGGAGUUGCAAAAACUAUUGAUUCCUGAAAGUUUGGACUUCUUCAAACAAAUAAAUACUGUUUCAGAGGAGUAAAAAGUCUGCUACACUCUGGGAUAACUAACUGAUUCUUUUUUGCCGUUUCAGCAGUUUCCACGGUCGGUACCUGAACCACUCAUGGAGACAAUAUGAGUGAAACAGCAAGUCAAAUGGGUUUUCUUCCUGCUGUCAGAGUCGGUUUUCACCACUUUUUAUUGGUUCGGUGCGUUUUGAACCGGAGCUGCAUGUCAAAAAGUAGUCACACCAAAUGUCUCCAACUUUAUUCACUAUUCAGCCUUAAUGAUUACAUACCAUGAAGUGUGCAACCUUAGCUGUGGGUUAUGAAGGACAAACCGUUGUCAGUUUUGACUGGAAGCAAAUUUGUAUGGAGUGAGGGAUGUCACACAUAGGGGACUGCAGGGCCUAACAGCUUUUUGGCCCAGUGUUUGCCCCUUGGGAAGAUCCAUAAUUCAUGUGGGAGUCAUGCACUUGUCACAGGGGCUCUGUAUAGCGAGUUCCACAAAGAGAAGCGGGGACGGGUGAAUGGCAAACACUAUUUAAUGCAUCUUCCAGCAGGAACCAAGUACUGCUCAGUGUCUCACCUGUCUGCAUAAUAAAGGCAAACCAGAGUGCAAGCAGAGGUGACCUUUGAGCGAGCACGCGUGUUUAACAUAUAACUGUUGAUAAGAGACAGAGGGAAAGUAAAGGAGCGCUUUGAAGUAACUUUACUGAGGCUCAGCUGAAGAAUGACUAAAAAGAAGGACCCGGUCUUUAUUCUGUGUCACACUUUAAGGCUGUAGGGCAUCCAGCAGACUGGAGCUACAGUCAUGCACAUGUAUGUCAUUCUAUUAUAGAGAAGGGUUCAGUGUGCAUGUGUAUAAUGCUUUACAACUUGAUGCAAUGACACCAGAAAACAGGGGCUGACAAACUAACCCACUGAGCAACAGACGUUAGUUUUUUUUUCGGACCUAUUUUCAACCAUCUAGAUUCUGCAUAUUUUUUGACAGAAUCUAGACGUCACACUUUAACCCAUUAUUUGAUAACUAUUUAUUUCAAAAAGCAACUGUGAGUUGAAUAACUGAUCUCCAAGUACGUUGAGCAACAUACAGUGUAGUAUAUAGCCCAGAUUCAGACUUGGUCCAAAUUUAGACAUCCAAAAAACUUUCAGUUUUAGACCUAUGGAAGCCUGAUUUUAGUCCGGUCGUCGCUUAGACUUCUUUUAGACCAAAAAAUGCUCAGUGGGAAGCAGAAUAUCAAACAAAAGUCAUGUAUUCUUCACCUUAGCUCGUCUCAUUCUGUUUCUUUUUAACCAUCGUUGUGGAUCUCAUUUUAAAAUCGGAGUAAAAAGGACCUUUUAAAAGAUCAGCAAAAUAAAAACAGGAUGGUCAUGAAAAAAAAGGCAAAUAUUAAAGCUCCUGUGGGGAGUUUUUUAACCUUAAUAAAAUAAACUUAAAUUCAUACUGAUUGUUCUUUAUGAUGUGCAAAAGGAAAUAAGACCAUCGCUUAAGUGAUUGAUGGGUUUUUAUCUUGUCUUUUUCAAUGCUCAAAACUGGUGCGAGUGGGGUAGGUGUCGGGAGAAAGUAAAGAAAAAGCCCUACUUGUGCAAAAUAUUCACAACAAAUGAAGAUUUUAAGUGUUCAAAGGCAGCAGGAUGAGCAGGAUUGUUUCAUAUGUAGAGGAAAACAAUAGUAAAGACAGCUUGGUCCACAGGGGGCACCAAAGCUGACAAAAAAAAAAAUCCACACAGGAGCUUUAAGAAAUCAUAACACUGUAAAAGAUAUGAAAAUCACUAAAAUUUCGAGUAAAAUCUGGUCAUUCAAGCUAGUAAAAAUCAAGUUUUACGAAUAAUUUAAAGGGCUUGUCUUGUUGAGAUUGUUGGAUGGUGUUGUUUUAAACAUUAUGACUGGUAUUAACCUGUGUCGUCAGUGGAGACUCACAGUAAUACUAGCAUGCAGCUAAUCCCUUACUCGUAUCUAUUUGUGGACAUUAUUAAAGUGUCUUUUUCCUUGAUUACAGCUAAAAAAAGUGGGAUUGUCUUAUAUCUUAGGAGAAGACUUCUAUAUGUUCACAGCAGUGGACAGCGCCUCUCGCUCACAACUACAGCAGCAGGAGGAUGAACCACAGAGAGACACAGUGAUAGUCCAGGAGAAAAGUUUUUUAAAAAGUAAGCUAAGGUCUUCAACGACUGAGGCAGGGUUAUAAUGCUGAAUUCAAGCUCAUGGUUACCAAUGCAGCUGUUGGUAUGCAGUUACUGUCUGUAGCCAAAAAAGGAGGGUAUAACAGAGUGAUGGAGUGUCAGUGUAUUCAGGAAAAAAACUACAAAAUAAAGUUUGUUACAGUAAACGCAUAUCAAUUCCAUUCAAGCAGAGCUAAUUUGGUCUAUUACCUUGAGGUCAAUUUAUCUUUAUCAACAAACAUCACAAUAUCGCUGCAUUAUUAGUGAUGCAUGAGUUGCUACGUAGCAGUGUUUAUUUUUUGAGAGCUUGAAAGUAGCUCCAGAAGAUGUUAGACAAACCAGAAGUACAGCUGACAGGCGGAUGACGCAUCGGAGAAAGUUUCUCAAAGUUUAUGGCGAGGCUCGCAGUCAAAAACAGGAAGGGAUCGAUAAAGCAGACAAGGUGUAGCUUCUCCUUAUUGAAGAGCGCUGAAAAAAAAAGGAGGUCAUACAUCACGAGCACACAACGACAGUAUGAAAGUUCUGGCCCCGCAGGUUUAAGGCGUCGUUGACAUUUAUGCUUGAAAAGCCUCAAAAGGCUUAACCCUUAUAAUCAAGAGUUAUUGGACGAGAAAUUGCUUGACAUUCUAUUUUUUUUCUCCUCUUUUCACGAGGAAGUUAAUCGCUCUCUAUCAUAUCCACUUGGCGCUAUAAACACACGGGGGUGUGCAGGAGUGUCUGCGGGUCGAUCCUCGUUUGUGUUGCCAUGGAGGUGCGUGGAGGUCAAGACUGGGUCAGUAAUGGAAAAAAAGAGGAAAGUUAUCACCCUUUAAAAGACACUGCCUCUGCCUUUCAAGGUAAUACUCCAUCUCUAAAUGCAUUCUUAAUAUCGCCUCUAAAAUGCUGUGAUUAUAAAAGCUGAAAAUACGCUGGUGUGAAACUUCCACGGAGUGUCGGAGUGACAAAAGUGCUGCAGUCCUUAUUUUUUAAACAGUCCUGGGAGCAGUUUCUUGGUGACUCUUCUAAAAAAAUGUGUUUACAUGUCUUCCCUUGCAGUCAAAGUGGAUAAAUAGAUCCAUUUUCUCUUUUUUUUUAGGAUCAUAAAUAUCUCAUCGAACCAUGACGGCAUUGUGGCGGAGAGAUUGGAUAAAUAUUCAGCGCUGUGAUGGGGGGUGGGUGGAAAGUGAGAGAUUUCAAUACACCUUUAUAAAGCAAUAGAAUGAAGCAGCAAAAUUCCUCAUGCAUGGAAAAAUAUCACAAACUGAUAAAGUGUUUUUUGGAGGGUUUGGAGAUAGAUUCUUGGACCUGUCCUCCCCAAAGUGUCCCGCUGCAAUUUUCCAACAUCAUCAGGACUUUUGAAAACGGACAAAUCUUCUUCUGUGAUACCGCCCACUGCCCUCAGAAUUCAUCUUAAUAUCUUUUUCUACAGAUCAUCACCUAAUUACCAAAGACAAAGAGCAGCUGGAAGGUACAUGGUAUUAGAGGAAGUAAUGAUCCGACGUUAAUGAGGAGAUAUAGACAUUAUGUAGAUAGGAACAGAGUGAUUAAGCAACUCCAAUCCAUGUCGUGGACACGCCAGUUUCAAGUAUUUCCAAAAAGGAAGGGAUUCAACCAAUAACCCGUCCUUGAGAGAUGGGGGGAGUGUAUGUGCCGCAAAGGGUCAUUUGUGUACAGUCGUCAUAGCAACUGUCUAUUUUUGGUACAAUAGCACUUCAGGGGUGCUUGUCUGGAUUACUCUCAGGGGUUUGGGGGAAAAAAAGUGUAUCAAAUGAGGUCUCGAUGAUAUUAAAUUUAGAAGUCGUUCAAGAGGUCCGCUAUUCAUCACAGUGGUUUUGGCGAAUUUAUUCGACACACGGCGUAAAGCUCGGCCCGCAAGAUAACAACAUGUGAUCUUUAACUAGUGAAGUCAACCGCUGGUUUUGAGUCUUGUCAAACCAACUCUCCUGUCAGUCAUCUGGUCUCACACCGACCCCCCUUCAAGCUGAAAAAGUUACUACGCUGAAGUCACUGUUUAUGUUUGCUUUUGGAGCUCACUAUGAGGUUUCAGUACCAGUUCAAAACUCCCCACAUCCUGUAUCUAGCCGUCUGUUAAGGGCAGCUUUGAUAACAUACACACAUUACUGCAGAAUAUAAGUACUGUAUCAUUUUACUGAGGUCAAGGGUGCAAUGCAAUGGUCAGGUUACAACAAGAGCCCCCUCUGCUGGAUCAAACAGAAAACUACUCCAGAUGGUCUGUGGCACAGUGACUACAUAUUAUGAGUUUGAAUGAAUACUUGAGUCUCUGUUUUAAAGUGACAGCUCUGGUCUGUAUGCUUAGUUUUUCAGGUUUGCAGGUCUCCAAACUACCAAAAAAGCAGAAAUAUGGAUGAAAUGAGCACAAAAGUAUACAUGAGCUCUAAAACUUUCACCCUUACUUGUCAUGAAACGAAAAGUAGUAUGUGAAAAAAAUAAUUGCUUCUGCUGUUGAGCCAGGCUGUAAACAUCUCUAUUAUUUCUGCUGCAAAAAUAUGCAUACUUCAAUAUGAGACCUAUUUGGUAUCCCUUAGUAACUUUGACACCAGUUCUAUUCCUCGCUCCUGGAUGUAGUUAAAAAUUUGACAAGUCUUGCAUUAGAUAUAUUCACAGUGGUUACCUUAUGUGGCCCUGAAACAACAACAACAUAACCCCUAAACGUACAACCACAGGCAAAACCUGAGUGUACCCAGGCAGAAUCUCUGGCAGACACCCCAUCCCUCAUACCGGAGAAAUCUGUCAGCCUAAUGACUGCAUGUGUAAGCUGCUCUGAUGCAAAGAGGUGAGCGCCGGCACAGCGUACGGCCGACAGCUCUGCCCGUGCUGAGCAAACAGAAGCCAGGAAUUUGUUAGCUGGCUAACGCAAGCCUGCCGUCAGCCAAAAGUGACACCGUGGGUGCAGAGAGGGGGCAGGCAAGGGCAAUGUGAGUGAGGGCGCGCGGGGCGAUCGACAUCCCAGGCUCUCAGGUGUGUGUGAGUGUCAGUGUGUGUGCUGGCGAGCUGGAUGGAUGGAUGGGGGCAAGUGAAAAUAGAUGGAUGUACAGGCGGAGAAUGACAUGUGUGGGGGGGUCUUAGACGUGGUCUGGAGGGCAGUCAGACAUGAUCAUGAUAUACCAGACAGAAUAACACUGCUGGGACAAAAUGUUACCGCGACUGAGAGAGUGGAUUCAUCUAAUAUAGAGCUGUCAAUCAAAAGUCACAUAUUCAUACCGCAUCGGCUGAUAAAAAAGGUCGGAAAUUUGACACCGAGGAGAAGAACAUGUGAAAUUACCAGGCGUCUUCAUCGCCCCGUGCUCAGUGUGGAAAAAUACCCACACUCCUCUGUCUCUUAACUCUUUCCCACAGAAUAGAAAACACUUCACUUGUAAAAACUCUGUAAGAAAUGGCCUCCAGCUGCCGAGUGCCUUGUUUAUUUCUGAAAUAAUACACCAUUUAUACUGUUUUUUUUUCUUAUACGAGACCCAGAAGGCUCAAGUUAUCGUCUCUUGAAGUGAAUACUUUAACCGAGAUGAGUGAAAGUGCCACUACAGACCGAAAAUAGCGCUCUCGGAAUACCUAAAAACACGCCAAAAGCUAAAAAGUCUCGAUUUAUUGUAGUUUAAUGAUUAUAAAACGCAGAAUACUUGUGUCACAGCCGUACCCUUGUUUGCCCUUUCCAUUUUCCCCCUGCUCCCAAGUCGAAAAAACUUCAUUUCCACCAUUUCAGUCCCAGUUCGGCAACAACACAACAUCCUUCUACCGCCGCAAGGUCUCAGCUCUGAGACCCUGAAGUGGAAACGGCCGGGGGGUGUACCAAGAGGGACUGACAGGCACAUGGAUUUCUUUUUCGCAGGUUGUCUCAGAAUUGUCAAAAGGAAGAAAGAAAGAAACAAAAGCGAAGGAGGGAUUGGUCUUCGUGUCACAAAACAUCCUCUGCAGCCUUGAAGAUCUGCAGGAGCUCAUGGUCAGGAGACUUUCGCUUCUGUAGCCUGAGCUCUGAAUGCAGCAUUCAAAUCUUCUCUUCUUCUAUUCAGCGCUCCAUCCUGCUUUUGUAACGCCAACUUUUUAAAGUCACAAUGACGGCCAAAAUGAUUUUUUACUCUGCGGUCUGCGAAAUAAACCCUUGUGUGGCCCUGGAGGUGAAAAAUCAGAGCUCUGCGGUAAACUUUCUGAACAGUUUUGCUGCUUUUUUCAACACAUUCAUAUUGAGAUUCUGUCAGCGUAAAAGCCUCAGACUCUCUAAUAAUCUCCCCUCAUCUGCAGAUGUACUUAAAACUCGCCCCUGAUAAGGCUUCAGGGAAAAGGGAUCAAUACUUGACCAAUCAAUCUGAUCAAUAAUCAGGGAGAUUAAGUAAGCAGCGCGGCAGAGAGGACUCUCGAGCGCUCUCCUCUCGCAUUUUUAAUGAUUGCUGCACUUGAACGCGACUUCAAUGACGCGGACGUUUUCAAUCCAGAUGAACUUUGGAGGGUUUUAAUUUCAUCCUCGUUUCUCACUGAUCCUACUUUGAUAUUGAAGUAAACACUUUUCAAAACAGUUCAUCUUUAAAGUCAUGAAUUCAUACUCACGAUUCAUGAUAACGAAGAUGAGAUGAUAUUUGGAUUUCGUUAGAAUUUUAACGCAACAGCACACCGGUUCUUAAGCCAGCCCUGUGAUAAAAAAACUUACUCUAUAAUGGAGUAAGUCUUAAAAGAAUAUAAUUUUAAAGUGCAUUGAAACCAUUUUAUCUAAUUAACAAAAAGAGACAUCCAAUCACCUAUCAUAUAAAUUAACUUUAAACACUUUAAUUUCAGCCUGCAGAGACCAAUCAUAAAUCCCUGAUAUGGAAA